rnacentral:rRNA from 1 species
CCUACGGGAGGCAGCAGUGAGGAAUAUUGGACAAUGGACGAGAGUCUGAACCAGCCAAGUAGCGUGAAUGAUGACUGCCUUCUGGUUUGUAAACUUUUUUUAUAUGGGAAUAAAAUGUUCCACGUGUGGGAUUUUGUAUGUACCAUAUGAAUAAGGAUCGGCUAACUCAGUGCCAGCAGCCGCGGUAAUACGUAGGAUACGAGCGUUAUCCGGAUUGAUUGGGUUUAAAGGGAGCGUAGGUGGAUUGUUAAGUCAGUUGUGAAAGUUUGCGGCUCAACCGUAAAAUUGCAGUUGAAACUGGCAGUCUUGAGUACAGUAGAGGUGGGCGGAAUUCGUGGUGUAGCGGUGAAAUGCGUAGAUAUCACGAAGAACUCCGAUGGCGAAGGCAGCUCACUGGACUGCAACUGACACUGAGGCUCGAAAGUGUGGGUAUCAAACAGGAUUAGAUACCCCAGUAGUC